UGCAAGUCGAACGAGAAAGUGGAGCAAUCCAUGAGUACAGUGGCGACCGGGUGAGUAACACGUGACCAACCUGCCCUCGAGUGGGGAAUAACUCCGGGAAACCGGAGCUAAUACCGCAUAACAUCUUUGGAACGCGAGUUCCGUUGAUCAAAGGAGCAAUCCGCUUGAGGAGGGGGUCGCGGCUGAUUAGCUAGUUGGUAGGGUAAUGGCCUACCAAGGCUGAGAUCGGUAUCCGGCCUGAGAGGGCGCACGGACACACUGGAACUGAAACACGGUCCAGACUCCUACGGGAGGCAGCAGUGGGGAAUUUUGCGCAAUGGGGGAAACCCUGACGCAGCAACGCCGCGUGGAGGAUGAAGUCCCUUGGGACGUAAACUCCUUUCGACCCGGACGAUACUGACGGUACGGGUGGAAGAAGCACCGGCUAACUCUGUGCCAGCAGCCGCGGUAAUACAGAGGGUGCGAGCGUUGUUCGGAAUUAUUGGGGUAAAGGGGCGUAGGCGGUGCGGUAAGUCACCUGUGAAACUCCUGGCUCC
rnacentral:rRNA from 1 species